rnacentral:piRNA from 1 species
UAGAUGACCUGGAGGAUAACACCACAAAAU